rnacentral:rRNA from 1 species
ACGAACGCUGGCGGCGUGCCUAACCCAUGCAAGUCGCACGAGAAAGGGGCUUCGGCUCCGAGUAAAGUGGCGCACGGGUGAGUAACACGUGGGUAACCUGCCUCUAAGAUUGGGAUAACUCGUCGAAAGAUGAGCUAAUACCGAAUAAGACCACAGUUCCCGCGGGAACAGGGGUCAAAGGUAGCCUCUGCUUGCAAGCUAUCACUUAGAGAUGGGCCUGCGCACCAUUAGCUAGUUGGUAGGGUAACGGCCUACCAAGGCAAAGAUGGUUAGCUGGUCUGAGAGGAUGAUCAGCCACACUGGCACUGAGACACGGUCCAGACUCCUACGGGAGGCAGCAGUGGGGAAUAUUGCGCAAUGGGCGAAAGCUUGACGCAGCAACGCCGCGUGAGUGAUGAAGGCCUUCGGGUCGUAAAGCUCUGUCGGGAGGAACGAAUGCUCCUGAGGUUAACAGCCUCGGGAGGUGACGGUACCUUCAAAGGAAGCACCGGCUAACUCUGUG